rnacentral:tRNA from 1 species
GGAUCCGUAGCUUAGCUGGAUAGAGCACCUGACUACGGAUCAGGAGGUCGCAGGUUCGAAUCCUGCCGGAUUCA